GGUCCUACGUAUACACAUCGACUCACCAUCAUCGUUAUCAUCUUUAUAUCGAAUUCAAAUCCUAUGAAUUCACGUUUUGUCACAGUACGUUUCGUUCUUGAUUAUGAACUAAUUAUUCUCAUUGGAUUUCAUCUUCUUGUCUUCUUAUAGUUGACUGCAUAUACAUAGUGGGAAAAAAAUAAGUCUUGAAGAGACAGACAGCAGAGAUGGCUGGAGGAGCUUUUACAGAUGGGGGACCUCUAAAGAGGGCUCAUCUUUAUGAGCAUAAAAUCACUGGUUAUUUCAUCUUUGCUUGCAUUGUUGCGGCUCUUGGAGGAUCCCUUUUUGGGUAUGAUCUUGGUGUGUCAGGUGGAGUCACUUCCAUGGAUGAUUUCUUGAAAGAUUUCUUCCCAAAAGUGUAUAGGAGAAAGCAAAAACAUCUUCAUGAGACAGAUUACUGCAAGUAUGACAACCAGAUUCUUACACUUUUCACAUCUUCAUUGUAUUUUGCUGCUCUUAUUUCCACUUUUGGAGCAUCCCAUGUAACAAGAAACAAAGGUCGGAAAGGCAGCAUCAUUGUCGGAUCAAUAAGCUUCUUCGUCGGAGCGGUUCUUAAUGCAGCUGCUGUGAACAUUUCGAUGCUAAUUAUCGGAAGAAUACUUCUUGGAGUAGGCAUUGGUUUCAGCAACCAGGUACACCACCUGAAAAAAAUGUUAUAGCCUAGCAAGCCUGUUAAUUUUACUUGUUGCCCUUUUGUUUUGAUGGUGCAGGCAGUUCCGUUGUAUCUCUCAGAAAUGGCUCCGGCAAAAAUCCGAGGAGCGAUUAACCAACUGUUUCAACUUACAACCUGCCUAGGAAUCUUGAUAGCAACCCUGAUAAAUUAUGGAACUGAAAAAAUCCAUCCAUGGGGAUGGAGAUUGUCUCUUGGCCUAGCUACAAUCCCUGCAACUCUAAUGUUUAUUGGUGGCAUUUUCCUUCCUGAGACACCUAACAGCCUUGUAGAGCAAGGAAAAUUGGAAGAAGGGAAAAGAGUAUUGGAGAAAGUUAGAGGCACCAAGAACAUUGAUGCUGAGUUUGCUGAUCUUGUAGAUGCAAGUAAUGAAGCUCGUGCGAUAAAACAUCCUUUCAGGAAUCUUCUGAAACGAAAGAAUCGACCCCAGUUGGUAAUAGGAGCUAUUGGAAUCCCAAUGUUUCAACAGCUCACUGGAAAUAAUUCCAUUCUCUUCUAUGCUCCUGUCUUUUUUCAGAGCUUGGGUUUUGGCUCUGGAGCAUCUCUAUACUCAUCAGUCAUAACAAGUGUUGCACUUGUUGUUGGUGCUCUUAUAUCAAUGUUUUAUGUAGACAGAUUUGGCAGAAGAGCAUUCUUUCUGGAAGCAGGCUUUGAAAUGUUCUGCUAUAUGGUGGCAACAGGUGUAACUCUGGCCUUGAAAUUUGGACAAGGAGUAACCCUUCCAAAAGGGAUUGGCAUUUUCCUGGUGAUCAUCCUUUGCUUGUUUGUCUUGGCUUAUGGAAGGUCUUGGGGUCCUCUGGGUUGGCUAGUUCCAAGUGAACUCUUCCCCUUGGAGACAAGAUCAGCUGGACAGAGUAUAGUGGUCUGUGUCAACAUGAUCUUCACAGCUUUGAUAGCACAAUGCUUCCUUGUAUCUCUCUGCCAUCUUCGAUAUGGGAUUUUCUUGCUGUUUGCUGGCUUGAUCUUUGUCAUGAGCUCCUUUAUCUACUUCCUCCUGCCGGAAACGAAGCAAGUACCAAUUGAGGAGAUAUAUCUACUCUGGCAAAAUCACUGGUUCUGGAGGAAAAUAGUGCCAGACCAACAAAGGAAGUUGGGAUCACAAGUCUAAUUAUCUUCUAUAACGAGGAAUGAAACGCAUAUUGUUCUACUUCAUUUUCCAUGAAUUGUUCUACUAUGUAUUUUAAUACUUAUCCACGAAUAAUUGAGCCCUGCAUUUUCAUAUAUAAAUC
rnacentral:misc_RNA from 1 species